rnacentral:rRNA from 1 species
GACGAACGCUGGCGGCGUGCCUAAUACAUGCAAGUCGAACGAGAGCGCCCGGUGCUUGCACUGGUCAAUCUAGUGGCGAACGGGUGGGUAACACGUGGGUAACCUGCCCAUCAGAGGGGGAUAACAUCCGGAAACGGAUGCUAAAACCGCAUAGGUCUUCGAGCCGCAUGGCUUGAAGAGGAAAAGAGGCGCAAGCUUCUGCUGAUGGAUGGACCCGCGGUGCAUUAGCUAGUUGGUGAGGUAACGGCUCACCAAGGCCGUGAUGCAUAGCCGACCUGAGAGGGUGAUCGGCCACAUUGGGACUGAGACACGGCCCAAACUCCUACGGGAGGCAGCAGUAGGGAAUCUUCCGCAAUGGACGCAAGUCUGACGGAGCAACGCCGCGUGAGUGAAGAAGGUUUUCGGAUCGUAAAACUCUGUUGUUAGAGAAGAACAAGUGCUAGAGUAACUGUUAGCGCCUUGACGGUAUCUAACCAGAAAGCCACGGCUAACUACGUG